GGAAGUUUUCUGCUUCCUGUGGUCCUUCCCCAGGUCUACUGGCAGUCCUCCCAAAGGAACCCUGUGAGAUGAAGUCAGAAAUAGCUUCCCUGGGGACCAAGAGUCCUGUUGGACCAGCUCUUCUCACUGCUUCUUCUGCUUUUAUAUUUCACUUGGCUCUCUAAAUUUGUUUCAGCUUUAGGUAAGGUUAAGUCUUUCUCCUGUGAUCUUGAUUUUCAGGUUCCCCAGGGAGAAUCUGUGUUCAGAUGUGGGCUUUCUCCCUCUCACACUUUGGGCGCUGAGUUUUUCAACUGUCUCACAUCACAGAAUUUGCAGCAGGAAGCUGCUUCUUUCAAAAGAAUUUCACUCUUGUGGCCCAGGCUGGAGUGCAAUGGCGUGAUCUCAGCUCACUGCAACUUCUACCUCUCGGAUUCAAGUGAUUCUCCUGCCUCAGCCUCCCAGGUAGCUGGGUUUACAGGAAUGAAAUGGACGUUCUUACUCAUCAUACCAUAAGCAUCCAGGUGAAUGAUUGCUCACUUCUUUCAUCUAAUGAGGAAUUGGCUUUCUUGAGAAUCUCAAUGCAGUGUACCUCCAACCUUAACAGACUGCUGUAAAACACCCUGACCAUUCUUUAGUAUAAGCACUGAAGAAGACAGUAUGUUGACCACGAGGCACCUGGCCUGGCUCAUAGUAUGCCAUCAAGAAAUGCUAAUUUUCUAUUUCCUCUUUUUCAAAGAGUUAUUUCAAGAAAGAAAGGAGAGGAGAGGAUGUUACAAAUUCCAUGUAAAUAAAAUUUGUCACUAAUUCUGUGAACUAAUUGAUAUCAUAAUUUGAUUCUCUUACCUCUUUUUAAUCUCUCUAUUAGUCCAUUUUUAUGCUGUGAAUAAAGACAUACCUGAGACUGGGCAAUUUACAAAAGAA
rnacentral:lncRNA from 1 species